rnacentral:rRNA from 1 species
AGUGAACGCUGGCGGCAGGCCUAAUACAUGCAAGUCGAACGGCAGCACAGUGGAGCUUGCUCCAUGGGUGGCGAGUGGCGGACGGGUGAGGAAUACAUGGGAAUCUGCCCAGUCGUGGGGGAUAACGUAGGGAAACUUACGCUAAUACCGCAUGCGCCCUUCGGGGGAAAGCCGGGGACCUUCGGGCCUGGCGCGAUUGGAUGAGCCCAUGUUCGAUUAGCUAGUUGGCGGGGUAAAGGCCCACCAAGGCGACGAUCGAUAGCUGGUCUGAGAGGAUGAUCAGCCACACUGGGACUGAGACACGGCCCAGACUCCUACGGGAGGUAGCAGUAGGGAAUAUUGGACAAUGGGCGCAAGCCUGAUCCAGCCAUGCCGCGUGAGUGAAGAAGGCCCUCGGGUUGUAAAGCUCUUUUGUCCGGGAAGAAAAGCAUCGGGCUAAUACCUCGGUGUUCUGACGGUGCCGGAAGAAUAAGCACCGGCUAACUUCGUG